rnacentral:rRNA from 1 species
GACGAACGCUGGCGGCGUGCUUAACACAUGCAAGUCGAACGGAAAGGCCUGCUUUCCCUUGUGGAUUGCGGGUACUCGAGUGGCGAACGGGUGAGUAACACGUGAGUGAUCUGCACCCAACUUGGGUAUAAGCCUGGGAAACUGGGUCUAAUUCCCGAUAGGACUGCAGGGUGGUGCCGGGGGUGGAAGACGAUUUGUUAGUGGUAGGGGAUGAGCUCGCGGCCUAUCAGCUUGUUGGUGGGGUAAUGGCCUACCAAGGCGGCGACGGGUAGCCGGCCUGAGAGGGUGGACGCCCGCACUGGGACUCGGAUACGGCUCCUACUCCUGCGGGAAGCAGCAGUUGUGACGCUUGGACCAUGGGCGGAACCCUGCUGCAGCGCCUCCGCGUGGGGGAUGUCGGCCUUCGGGUUGUCAGCUCCUUUCGACCGCGAGGAAGCCACCUGGUUGGAAGGGUGGUGACGGUAGUGGUAGAAGAAGCACCGGCUAACUACGUG